rnacentral:rRNA from 1 species
AUUGAACGCUGGCGGCAUGCCUUACGCAUGCAAGUCGAACGGCAGCACGGGAGCAAUCCUGGUGGCGAGUGGCGAACGGGUGAGUAAUAUAUCGGAACGUGCCCAGUCGUGGGGGAUAACGCAGCGAAAGCUGUGCUAAUACCGCAUACGAUCUACGGAUGAAAGCGGGGGAUCGCAAGACCUCGCGCGAUUGGAGCGGCCGAUAUCAGAUUAGCUAGUUGGUGGGGUAAGAGCCCACCAAGGCGACGAUCUGUAGCUGGUCUGAGAGGACGCCCAGCCACACUGGAACUGAGACACGGUCCAGACUCCUACGGGAGGCAGCAGUGGGGAAUUUUGGACAAUGGGCGCAAGCCUGAUCCAGCAAUGCCGCGUGCAGGAUGAAGGCCUUCGGGUUGUAAACUGCUUUUGUACGGAACGAAACGGCUCUUUCUAAUAAAGAGGGCUAAUGACGGUACCGUAAGAAUAAGCACCGGCUAACUACGUGCCAGCCGCCGCGGUAA